UACUAAGCGCUUUGUUGUCGAGAGCAGCUUGCAAAAUAUAUGGUCAUAAGUAUCUCUCAGAUCUGAGAUAAUCAUAGUGACUUGUAAGCAACUCACUGUGCUUUGGUAUCGGACUAUCUAUAUUUCUAAUGCAGUAACGAAAGGCUACUAGGUACAGUCAAGUACAUGCGAAGUCUAUAUAUGGAUAAAGAUGGGAUUGACCCCGC
rnacentral:lncRNA from 1 species